rnacentral:rRNA from 1 species
AAGAAAGUAACAAAGGGCACAUGGGGGAUGCCUAGGCUCUCAGAGGCGAAGAAGGACGUGAUAAGCUGCGAAAAGCUACGGGGAGGAGCAAAUAUCCAUUAAUCCGUAGAUCUCCGAAUGGGGCAACCCGUCAGAAGAAGAUUCUGACAUCAUGCUUAAGCAUGAAGCUAACCAGGGGAACUGAAACAUCUAAGUACCCUGAGGAAAAUAAAACAAAAGUGAUUCCCUAAGUAGUGGCGAGCGAACGGGGAGCAGCCCAAACCGGCAUUGUUU